rnacentral:rRNA from 1 species
UUUCAUUGGUAUUAAUAGCUAAGGUCUUUAAAUUAAAAGAAUUUGACGGUAAUUUAUCAUUUCAGAGGAACCUGUCCUUUAAUCGAUAUUCCACGUUAAAUUUUACCUUAAUUUUUGCUUAUAUACCUCUGUUUUGGAGUGUUUUAUUAGAAUUUAUUCUCUUUAAUUAUUUUAUAAUUUAUAUCAGGUCAAGGUUUAGCUAUAUUAAGGUUGAGAUGGGUUACAUUUAAUUAUAUUAUUGAAUAUUUAUAUUUAUUUAUAAAUUGAAAUUGGAUUUGAUUGUAAUUUGUAUUAUUUAUUAUUUAUGAUAUUUGUUCUAGAUUAAG